CGGGAAUCGAACCCGGGACCAUCGGCUUAGUAGUCAGGUCACUAACCACUACGCCAUUCGGUCGUCAUAAACAGUUUAUGGUAGAAAUUUAGUUUCAUAAACCUGCCCACAUUUUAAUAUUGGUAGAAAUUUAUUGUUCAUAACCUGGUAUUAUUUUUAACAUUCCGUGACAUCGUGACACUUUCAACGGCUGUCGCCGCUCGCUAGUGAUUCAUUAGCCUUGCCAUCACUGGACUCGAACGUACGCUUGCGCAUCUGAAUAAUAAUUGCUUU